GAUGAAGAACGUAGAGAAAUGCGAUAAGUAAUGUGAAUUGCAGAAUUCAGUGAAUCAUCGAAUCUUUGAACGCACCUUGCGCCCUUUGGACUUCUGAAGGGCAUGCCUGUUUGAGUAUCAUGAACACCUCAACUCCUUAUGGUCUUCCAUGAUGAGCUUGGACUUUGGGGGUUUUGCUGGCCUACAGUCAGCUCCUCUAAAAUAAAUCAGCUUACCGGUGUUUGGUGGGUAUCAUGGGUGUGAUAACUAUCUACGCUCGUGGUUUUCCACCAGGUAACCUUCAGCAGUGGAGGUUCACUGGAGCUCAUAGAUGUCUCUCCUCAGCGAGGACAGCCCUUUGAAUGUUUGAUCUCAAAUCAGGUAGGACUACCCGCUGAACUUAAGCAUAUCAAUAAGCGGAGGA
rnacentral:misc_RNA from 1 species